AGGGUUCGAUUCUGGCUCAGGAUGAACGCUAGCUACAGGCUUAACACAUGCAAGUCGAGGGGCAGCAGGAAUCUAGCUUGCUAGAUUUGCUGGCGACCGGCGCACGGGUGAGUAACGCGUAUCCAACCUUCCCCUUAGUAGGGCAUAGCCCGUAGAAAUGCGGAUUAAUACCCUAUGUUAUUCGUCGAGGACAUCUGAAGUGAAUCAAAGGUUUACCGCUAAGGGAUGGGGAUGCGUCUGAUUAGGCAGCAGGCGGGGUAACGGCCCACCUGGCCGACGAUCAGUAGGGGUUCUGAGAGGAAGGUCCCCCACAUUGGAACUGAGACACGGUCCAAACUCCUACGGGAGGCAGCAGUGAGGAAUAUUGGUCAAUGGUCGAGAGACUGAACCAGCCAAGUAAGCGUGCAGGAUGACGGCCCUAUGGGUUGUAAACUGCUUUUAUGCGGGGAUAAAGUGAGGGACGUGUCCCUUUUUGUAGGUACCGCAUGAAUAAGGACCGGCUAAUUCCGUGCCAGCCGCCGC
rnacentral:rRNA from 1 species